rnacentral:rRNA from 1 species
GUAAGGAAUAUUGGGCAAUGGGCGAAAGCCUGACCCAGCAACGCCGCGUGAAGGACGAAUGUUGUAUGAUUGUAAACUUCUUUUAGAGGGGAAGAAAAACCAAGUUUCGUAAGGUACUUGGAUUGACUGUACCCUUAGAAUAAGCUCCGGCUAACUACGUGCCAGCAGCCGCGGUAAUACGUAGGGGGCAAGCGUUGUCCGGAUUUACUGGGUGUAAAGGGCGUGUAGGCGGGUUUGUUAGUCAAGGGUGAAAUCCUACAGCUUAACUGUAGAACUGCCCUUGAUACUGUAAACCUUGAGUUUGGAAGAGAGAGACGGAAUUCCAGGUGUAGUGGUGAAAUACGUAGAUAUCUGGAAGAACAUCUGUUGCGAAGGCGGUCUCUUAGCCCAACACUGACGCUAAGGCGCGAAAGCAUGGGGAGCAAACAGGAUUAGAAACCCGAGUAGUCC